CGGCUCAGUAACACGUAGUUAAUCUGCCAUAAGGUGGAGGAUAACCUUGGAAACCUGAGGGUAAUACUCCAUAGGGAAUAAAUUCUGGAAUGAGUUAUUCUUCAAACGUAAGGCCUUAUGAUGAGACUGCGGUGGAUUAGGUAGUUGGCAGGGUAACGGCCUACCAAGCCUAAGAUCCAUACGGGCCUUGGAAGAGGGAACCCGGAGAGGGACACUGAGAUACUGGUCCCAGCCCCACGGGGUGCAGCAGGCGCGAAAACUUUACAAUGCACGAAAGUGUGAUAGGGGAACUCAAAGUGCUCAUACACUGUAUGGGCCUUUGCCAACUCAAAAUUUGUUGGCGAAUAAGUGGUGGGCAAGACUGGUGCCAGCCGCCGCGGUAACACCAGCGCCACGAGUGGGAGUCGCUAUUAUUGGGCCUAAAGCGUCCGUAGCAGGUCUAAACAAUUGCCUGUGAAAUCGUGUUUGUCAACCACACGGAUUGCAGGUAACACUGUUAGACUUGAGACCGGGAGAUGUUGGAGGUAUUCAGGGGGGAGCGGUAAAAUGCGAGAAUCCUCUGAGGACCACCUGUUGCGAAGGCGUCCAACAAUAACGGGUCUGACUGUGAGGGACGAAAGCUAGGGGAGCGAACCGGAUUAGAUACCCGAGUAGUCCUAGCCGUAAACGCUGCGAGUUAGGUGUUGCAUAAUCUU
rnacentral:rRNA from 1 species